UAUUACGCUGCACAAAUUUCUUCAAUGAUGUAUAAUAACUAAGUAGUAGGCGUUAUCAUGAAGCCUUCGACCAUGAAUAUUCAGAGUAAAGUUAAAAUUUCUGGACGCAACGGCCACGUUCCCGCGAACAGAACUGUCAACUUCAUUGUGUUUAUUCAUGUAAGCCGACGACCAUUAGGGCAUAAUAAAAUAAAACGUUUUUAACUGAAAAUAACAGUUAACAUUUUAUAAGAAUAUGAAAAAAUAAAGAAAAUAGUGUUAACAGUGACGAAUUGCAAAAUUGGAGGGAAAAAACCACAAGAUCGGAGAAGAAAAUGCAACUUUCGCGUUCAAGGUCAAUUGCGGCGUCCUUUCGUCGAUAGCAUAGCUACACGGACGUGAUAAAUAUCGAGAUAAAAAUGUAGCAGGCCAUGGAUGUACCUACAUUAAUAGUGCCAGCGAACGAAUGUUUAAUGCAUACAUAACUAAAAUUCCGAAAAGGAACAUAAACGUCGGCAAGUGAAGAAUGAAGCGAGUUAAUUUUGACCUUGUUGGAAGGAGGCACCGCACCAGAAGGUUAAAUAUGGGAAUAAUCCUUCUAGGACAAUCUUGUUGUUUGCUUGCAGAUAUAUAAUUACGAACAUUACAAAACAACAAUGACCCGGACAAGAUUAUGAAAAAAUACUCUGCCUUGUUAAAUUACUAGUGCUCUGAAGAUGAACCCAGAGACUCAAGCUGCGGCUGGUGAGACGUUUGUCAGUUGGGAACAAGGCUAGGUAUUGAAAUGAAACAAAAUAAAGUUUCCUGUGACCUGUUCUCUCACUGUGAUGAUUUAGCACUCAAUAAAUUGUCUGCUGUAACCAGCUAUGAAAAGGUAAUGUCACUCUUAAGUGACCACUGGUUUUUUGUGUGAUUAUUAUCACUGAGAAUCUUACCUAAGGCAGCUGUUCAAUUAUUAAAUCACAAUCAAUGGCAUAAGAGGUUUUUAAAUCAUUUACUUAAACAUGCUGUUGACAAGUGGUGUUUUAAGAAAGUUUAGCAGAAGUACUAAUGACUUCUAAAUUAUUGUAAGUCCUAAUGCCCGGUACUUUAAACUUCAAGGGCUCAACUAUCAAUAUUUUUUUUCUAAUGUAUGUUUUGCUGUUGCUUUUCUUUGUUAUCAUAUAAUAAAGUAUUUAUUACUUAUUUACUAACAACAUACAAAAACCCUGGUCAAAAGCAGCAAUAAGGAAGCGGAGCAACACUUUCCCCUUUGCAUCACAAUGUGGUCGCACUCAGCGACACCACAACAGCCUGUGUUCAUUUAGAACAAAUUCUUGAAAGUUGUGGUUAACUUAAAUACAUUUUUUGUCAGUGCAAUGACAUCAUAUUUACAAGGACCCAAGGAUUUUGUCCUGGUUAAUCAUACAUUAAUUCUGAAAAAUGAUUACUAUUGAGCAAUCGACAGUCAAUACUAGGAAGUUAUGUGACUGUGAUAUAUACUGUGUGUACAAAAUAUAUGCCUAUGAUGUUCUUACACAAGAAUAUACACUUUACACAGCUUAAUAUUUAACUAAAAUAUUUUAUGUACAAAACCCUAAGGGAAGUAAAUACAGUUAUAUUUUUAAUAUAAGUAAAUUGAUUGCAACUAAGCAUUGGAAUUGCCAUGAAACUAAUUGUUGCAUGAACACCUUUUACUUGAUUUUAUGAGAGUAGAAAAUAUCUCUGAUUCAUGUGGAAAGCUGAGAUUACAGUUUUAAGUCCUGUCAUUAGACUAUUUGACUAUAUGUCUCUCUAGCUAUGUAUCAGACCUUUCAUGAAGUGUCCAAGAUCUAGAGGUCACACAAUGAGCAACUGUUUAGAUGUUAUAUCUAUUGUCCUUAUGAUAAAUGUUUUUAGACUAUGUAGGUACCUAUGCAAGAUGCACUCUAUUAUUCUUGAUACCAUAUGGAGCUAGGUAUAAUCAAAUUAAACUAGCUCCUUAGUACCUUAGAAAGCUGUCUAAUAUCUGGAUUUAUUUCUUUACCCAAUAAGAAACAAUGUCAAUAUAUCACCUAGUGUGACUUAUUUUGGUGGCUAAUUGAAAGUAAAGGGUUAUAAAUAUACUUUUUGAAGAUAUUUAUUUACUAUACAGUAAUAGUUUAUUGACCUGCUGGGGCAACCGUGUGGAAAUGAGUUAUCUGUGGGAUUAUGGAAGGAGCCUAUUAAUAGAAUACAUUACAUUAAUUUUAUUCAGCUUAAUGGUGGUCUUUAUAUUUAAAGACGUUUCUUUCCGAUUUACCAGACUGUGACAUACUUCUGAGAAAAUACAACACAGCUAUCUCAAUUAUAAACCGCUUUGGUGAACUGAAAUACUACUGUACAGUAUUUUUACCUCAAAACCAUCGAUGUUCGAUGCUCAAAACAAUGUUGAGGAACAAUUGGCAUUGGUGUGAAACGAGACAUUACAAUAUUAGUCUUAAAUAUUAUAGGUGAACUGUGUCAUAGCUGAUUGAGAGAUAACUAUAUAAGAUUUCGGAGAUAAAACGUAAAUUAAACAAUGAAUAUUUAGAAAUUUCCUGCAUCAUUUUGGAACUCAUAUACCGAGUUAUUGGAGUCGCGCAGAUGAAAUAUGUGAACGCUAUAUAUAUCCUGGUGUAGUAACCCAGAUAUUUUUUCUACAUAGAUGCUUGCACAUUUUCUUUGAUGAAUUAUUUUAUCUAUGCUUUUCUUCCAUUCGAAAUGAAAUUUAAGGUACCUAUUAAAGUUUUAGGUAAUGCAGAAGACAUGGCAACAACCAUAUUGUACACAGUUUUUACAAAUACUUACAUGUUACAUACAAUUGUAUAGAUUUGAGCGCCAGCUCACAUUUAUAAAAACUUAUUCCAUUAA